ACGAUCAUACCACAUUGAAAACAUCAGUUCUCGUUCAAUCACUGAAAUUAAGCAAUGUUGAGACAGUCAGUACUUGAGGGAUAAUUUCGUGGGAGCACAGAGUGAGGUAGGCU
rnacentral:rRNA from 1 species